GACGAACGCUGGCGGCGUGCCUAACACAUGCAAGUUGAGCGACGAACCAGGGCUUGCCCUGGGGCAAAGCCGCGAACGGGUGAGUAACACGUGGGUAACCUACCCCGAUAACCGGGACAACCCGAGGAAACUCGGGCUAAUACCGGAUGUGCUCACUGGACUUCGGUUCAGUGCGUAAAGGAAGCUUCGGCCUCCGUAUCGGGAGGGGCCCGCGGCCCGUUAGUUUGUUGGUGAGGUAACGGCUCACCAAGACCGCGAUGGGUAGCUGGUCUGAGAGGACGAUCAGCCACACUGGGACUGAGACACGGCCCAGACUCCUACGGGAGGCAGCAGUGGGGAAUCUUGCGCAAUGCGCGAAAGCGUGACGCAGCAACGCCGCGUGGGGGAAGAAGGCCUUCGGGUUGUAAACCCCUUUCAGGAGGGACGAAGGUUCGGCGGUGAAUAGCCGUCCGGACUGACGGUACCUCCACAAGAAGCCCCGGCUAACUACGUG
rnacentral:rRNA from 1 species